AUUGAACGCUGGCGGCAGGCCUAACACAUGCAAGUCGAACGAGUGGCGGACGGGUGAGUAAUGCCUGGGAAACUGCCUGAUGGAGGGGGAUAACUACUGGAAACGGUAGCUAAUACCGCAUACCAUCAGCUGAGCCCAGAUUGGAUUAGCUAGUUGGUGGGGUAACGGCUAACCAAGGCGACGAUCCCUAGCUGGUCUGAGUGGAUGACCAGCCACACUGAAACUGAGACACGGUCCAGCCUCCUACGGGAGGCAGCAGUGAAGAAUAUUGCACAAUGGGCGCAAGCCUGAUGCAGCCAUGCCGCGUGUAUGAAGAAGGCCUUCGGGUUGUAAAGUACUUUCAGCGGGGAGGCGUUACCCGCAGAAGAAGCACCGGCUAACUCCGUGCCAGCCGCCGCGGUAAUAC
rnacentral:rRNA from 1 species